UUGAAGUCCACUAGUCAAGACACAGGGCUACGUCCACCGUCCACUGGCUACCAUACUCGAAGUAUCUCGGUCUGCUAUUGAAACUUACAAACCUAACGCUGUUAAAUGUAUUUGUUUGUAAAUAGACACGUGUGUAUUCUAAGGAACGGUGUGUGUUUUGUUCUAUGAUAAAUGUGUUAUUGAUAGUUUACAUUUAGAAUUAAGUAAAAUUACCGGAAACACCUGUAUGUAGCUUGAGCAGUGGGAUUGUGCAGGAUGGGGGUGGGGGUGGGGUUUGGCGCGGGCAAGCGGCCUCCCUCACACACGGCCUACUACGUGGCGCUGGCUGGAAUCCUGUCCCUGCUUCUGCUGCUCAUCUCCUACUGCCUCUGCUUCUGCGUCAAACGCGUCAAACAGAUAUCUCAGCAAGGACUCCCUCCGCCGGUACAGUCAGUACGUCCUCCUCCUCCCGAGACAGUACCUUACCCGGUGCAGCCUGCGGUGCGCUCCAGUGCGUCGGCGAUGGCUCGUCUGUGUCAGUCGCCGCGCUCGCCACGCAGCUUCGUGCUCGCUCACGACUCAGCUCAUGCCAACCGCUCCGUGUCGCUCACUCCUGCCCAUACGGACACGGUGCACCCGUCGCGACCUGCGCGAUCCGGCACGCUGCCUCCACCCACGGUCAUCAACCACGCGCCCCCUCGAGCCCCCACAAGGCCGCCCAGAGGCAAUGGACUCAAGUCGCCGAGGAACCGGAACCAGGAAGAGAGUAUAGAACUGUGCGAGAGGAGAGUGGUGCCGCAGGUGGUAGUGGGCGUCGCUGAGUGACUGUCGCGCCGGUUAUCAUAAUAUGUAUUCAAAUAAAAUUUGAAAACAAAAUUUUAUGAACGAUGCCGGACUCGAACCCACGACUUCUCAGUUUCCGUGCUCUUCAAACUGAGCUACAAUUCUGACUUAAUAUAGUAGUCUUAUUGACUUGAGAUGUAAAUCAAUUUCCUAAAAUGCAAAUACUGGAGUUAAGCGGGUUAUCAAAUGUAAAGUAGAUCCUAUAGAUAAAGCCACAACCUGAGAGUUGAACAAAGCAUACAAGAUUUUAUGACGAUACGUCACUCGAACGAUUAGCUCAGUUGGCAUAGCACUGGCACGGAACGCCAGAGGUCGUGGGUUCGAGUCCCGCAUCGAUCAUAAGAUUUCGUUUUCAAACUUUAUUUGUGUAUUAAUCCUAGAAGUGAGGGUUUUAAAAACAUAACAAAUUGUUUAUAAUAUUAUGUAUUAUACUGCUUAAAGUAUGUUUGAAAGACUGUAAUAAUUGAUGUGCCAAAUAUUGCUUACGUAGUACUUAGUACUUACCCUUUAGAUCAUUUAUACGUUUAGAUAAACUAUGACAGCUGUGAAAACGUAGAAAAAAUUUGCCUUAGAACUAACCUCUAUUAAGAGCAAUUCACGCACACUAACACAAAGUGUCAUACAAAUCGCGAGUGUAAGACGUAGCUUGUCACGCACACUAAACUAGUAUACAUGGCCUGUUUUUAUCGGUUGUCUAACAGCAAGAGACUCUAUCUAGACGUAUAAAUUAUGUAAGACUUAUACUAUCUCUACUCUGUGGUAAAGGUGAGCAUUUGACAGCUAUGUGCAGCAACAAAAACACAUCUAAGCAUGAAAUAAGAUAAAAUAUAUCUUAGACCGACAAAUGCCGACCACUGAGAUGAUAUCGGUAUAUGUUUCACUCAUAUAGUUCCGUUAUUUUAUUUCCAAUCCUCUUUAUUGAUGAUACAAUCCCUGGUGCUGGUCUGUAGACUGUAGUCUUCGCGUGAACUGACGUCUAAUUCAAUGACCGCAAAACAUAAUUUAAAAGAUGAAAUCUAUUUUUAAUAAAAAUCUUACUUCACGAAAAUAAUUAAAGUUCAUUGUCGUAUGAGAGGUAUCUUCCAAAAAUUUAAAUGGAUUUCCUGCGGCAUAAAACCUCUUUUUUGUUAAAAAAAAACAAAAACUGUAUUAUACGGUUAAAUUGAAAAUGCUCAAAAAAAGUCACUUUACGAGCAAGUAUGUUGAAAUAGUUAUUUAAGAUACUGUUAUGUGUUUUAAUACCUAUCUAUCAACAGGUGCAUACAAGACUUUAUCUGCUGGGUGCAGAUAUCUUGAAUAUGAAUCCUUUUUAAAAGAUUCUAAAACAGUUAGCUUACUGCUAACAUUAAAAAAGCCAGUCCUAGUAACCAUAAUAUCAUACAAAGGAGUGUUAUUAUGAAAACGGAUGAUAUAAUGUGGUACUGAAUUUCAUUACAACACUCGUUUGUAUGAUGUAAUGGUUAUUAAGACAUUGAGUGUUUUAAUGUUGGCAAUAACCUAACUGGUUUAGAAUCUUUAAUAGAGGAUUUAAAGCAUGAGUGUACUUAUAAGUGCGUAUGAAACUCGUGAGCAACUUACUCACUAGACACUCGGCUGAUUUACGAUUACUGCAACCCACAGCCUCGUGUAUACUAAGCAACUUAGCUCAAUUGUAUAAUAAUAACUAAUAUUUAACCAAUAAAUGAUAGGAGUUCUGGUUUGAACAAGCUGACACCAGUCAGUAGCACACUAGGGCAGAAAUGAUACUCACGAGAGUCACACAUUGAUGUUGAGUUGUCUCAGUUUGAUUCAUGAUCAACAUCAAGAAUUUACAGGACUGUAUAUCCUGGAUCAAGGACAUCUAUAGUGGAUCUUCAUCCCGAUCAAGCUUGAUGGAUGUAUAAUAUAUUUGAUUUUUCUUCUACAAUUUGUACAUGUUCAUGUCUCUUUAGUUUAAUAAUGAUGGUUCAGCAGGGAUGUAUUGUUGAAUAGUAAAAUAAGUAACAAUGUACAAAAGGACUAUAUUUAUGAGGUUAAAGAGUUGUUAAAAGUGGCUUAUCGUUAUUAUUAAGAUAUAUAUCACAUUACUUUCAUCACAUAAUAUACUAUGCUACAUAGAGCUACGAUACUAUCUUGUAUUUAUAUUACACACGCGGGCGGGUUACCAGUGAUGUUGGUUGGCUCCGUUGACCCACAAUGGUCAUGUAUGAAGGACCAAAUGUUGAAGAAAUAAAAUUAAGAUAUUAUUUAUAUAUAAGAUAAUUAAUUUAAAAUUGUCAGUAAUGCUGCUAUUAAUAUAAAACGCAUUUUGUAUUAACUGU